rnacentral:tRNA from 1 species
CAAUAGGUAAUUUAAAUUUACUAAAAUAUUAGUUUUGGAUACUAACAAUAUAAUUAUUAUUCUAUUGA